AAUAUUGGACAUUGGGGGCAACCCUGAUCGAGCCAUGCCGCGUCAGUGAAGAAGGUCUUCGGUUUUUAAUGCACUUUAAGUUGGGAGGAAGGGCUUUAGGCUAAUACCCUGAAGUUUUGACGUUACCUAUCGAAUAAGCACCUGCUAACUCGGUGCCAGCAGCCGCGGUAAGACAGAGGGUGCAAGAGUUAAUCGGAAUUACUGGGCGUAACGCGCUCGUAGGUGGUUCAGUAAGAUGGGUGUGAAAUCCCCGGGCUUAACCUGGGAACUACUUUCAUACCUGCUGAGCUAGAGUACGGUAGAGGGUAGUGGAAUUUCCUGUGUAGCGGUGAAAUGCGUAGAUAUAGGAAGGAACACCAGUGGCGAAGGCGACUACCUGGACUGAUACUGACACUGAGGUGCGAAAGCGUGGGGAGCAAAC
rnacentral:rRNA from 1 species